rnacentral:rRNA from 1 species
UACAGAGGGGGCAAGCGUUGUUCGGAAUUACUGGGCGUAAAGGGCGCGUAGGCGGCCUGUUAAGUCGAACGUGAAAUCCCCGGGCUCAACCCGGGAACUGCGUCCGAUACUGGCAGGCUUGAAUCCGGGAGAGGGAUGCGGAAUUCCAGGUGUAGCGGUGAAAUGCGUAGAUAUCUGGAGGAACACCGGUGGCGAAGGCGGGUCUCUGGGCCGAAAUUGACGCUGAGGAGCGAAAGCGUGGGGAGCAAACAGG